AUUGAACGCUGGCGGCAUGCCUUACACAUGCAAGUCGAACGGCAGCACGGGGGCAACCCUCGUGGCGAGUGGCGAACGGGUGAGUAAUGCAUCGGAACGUGCCCCGUACGCGGGGAGUAACCAGUCGAAAGACUGGCUAAUACCGCAUACGCUCCACGGAGGAAAGCAGGGAGUCGCAAGACCUUGCACUAUGGGAGCGGCCGAUGCCCGAUUAGCUAGUUGGUGAGGUAAAGGCGUCACCAAGGCGACGAUCGGUAGCUGGUUUGAGAGAACGACCAGCCACACUGAGACUGAGACACGGCCCAGACUCCUACGGGAGGCAGCAGUGGGG
rnacentral:rRNA from 1 species